CACGUAGGGCGCAAGCGUUGUCCGGAAUUAUUGGGCGUAAAGAGCUCGUAGGCGGUCUGCCACGUCCGCUGUGAAAACCUAGGGCUUAACCCUGGGCUUGCAGUAGAUACGGGCAGACUAGAGGUAGGUAGGGGAGAAUGGAAUUCCCGGUGUAGCGGUGAAAUGCGCAGAUAUCGGGAGGAACACCGGUGGCGAAGGCGGAUCUCUGGGCCUUACCUGACGCUCAGGUGCGAAAGCUAGGGGAGCGAACAGG
rnacentral:rRNA from 1 species